AUUGAACGCUGGCGGCAGGCCUAACACAUGCAAGUCGAGCGGUAGCACGGGGAGCUUGCUCCUGGGUGACGAGCGGCGGACGGGUGAGUAAUGUCUGGGAAACUGCCUGAUGGAGGGGGAUAACUACUGGAAACGGUAGCUAAUACCGCAUAACGUCGCAAGACCAAAGAGGGGGACCUUCGGGCCUCUUGCCAUCAGAUGUGCCCAGAUGGGAUUAGCUAGUAGGUGGGGUAACGGCUCACCUAGGCGACGAUCCCUAGCUGGUCUGAGAGGAGGACCAGCCACACUGGAACUGAGACACGGUCCAGACUCCUACGGGAGGCAGCAGUGGGGAAUAUUGCACAAUGGGCGCAAGCCUGAUGCAGCCAUGCCGCGUGUAUGAAGAAGGCCUUCGGGUUGUAAAGUACUUUCAGCGGGGAGGAAGGUGUUGAGGUUAAUAACCUCAGCAAUUGACGUUACCCGCAGAAGAAGCACCGGCUAACUCCGUGCCAGCAGCCGCCGUAA
rnacentral:rRNA from 1 species